rnacentral:rRNA from 1 species
GACGAACGCUGGCGGCGUGCCUAAUACAUGCAAGUCGAACGAACCGCGACUGAGUGCUUGCACUUGGUCAAGGUGAGUGGCGAACGGGUGAGUAACACGUGGGUAACCUACCUCAUAGUGGGGGAUAACAGUCGGAAACGACUGCUAAUACCGCAUAGGACAUGGAAUCACAUGAUUCUGUGAGGAAAGGUGGCGCAAGCUAUCGCUAAGAGAUGGACCCGCGGUGCAUUAGCUAGUUGGUAGGGUAAGGGCCUACCAAGGCGAUGAUGCAUAGCCGACCUGAGAGGGUGAUCGGCCACAUUGGGACUGAGACACGGCCCAAACUCCUACGGGAGGCAGCAGUAGGGAAUCUUCCGCAAUGGACGCAAGUCUGACGGAGCAACGCCGCGUGAGUGAAGAAGGUCUUCGGAUCGUAAAGCUCUGUUGUUAGAGAAGUACAGCGCAUAGAGUAACUGUUAUGCGUGUGACGGUAUCUAACCAGAAAGCCACGGCUAACUACGUG